GAAGAUUUCUGCCUUUGUAUUAAAGACUUAAAUUGUAAAUUAGAUUUUCAGAUUUCCAAUAACCAUUCAAGGAAUGUUACAUUGUGUAAAGUACACAA